AUUUGAUUUUGCUUUGUUUGUAUUUUAGAUAUUGCAUACGAGGAGCAAUAUCAGACUGGGAAGCAUAACCACAAUUCAGCCAUUUUUGUACAAGGGGCAGAACUGUCGCAUCGGUGCCACAGAAGCUCCAAAGAAUACAAAGACGGAACUGAGCUUGGGUUUCUCCAAGAAAAAAAACAAGUAUAUGGCCAGGCAAAGGGCCACGUGACUCCAAACAGUUAUCCUCAAGAGCAGAACCGAGAGAGAAAGACUUUCUGCAUAUUUCAUGAGUCUUCCGCAUUAAAGCUACACAUCAGCUAUUCAACCCCUCUUGGACUCC